AAAGAAAAUUCGAUUCCCUUAGUAGCGGCGAGCGAAACGGGAAGAGCCCAAACCAACAAGCUUGCUUGUUGGGGUUGUAGGACACUCUAUACGGAGUUACAAAGGACGACAUUAGACGAAUCAUCUGGAAAGAUGAAUCAAAGAAGGUAAUAAUCCUGUAGUCGAAAAUGUUGUCUCUCUUGAGUGGAUCCUGAGUACGACGGAACACGUGAAAUUCCGUCGGAAUCUGGGAGGACCAUCUCCUAAGGCUAAAUACUCUCUAGUGACCGAUAGUGAACCAGUACCGUGAGGGAAAGGUGAAAAGCACCCCGGAAGGGGAGUGAAAUAGAACCUGAAACCGUGUGCUUACAAGUAGUCAGAGCCCGUUAAUGGGUGAUGGCGUGCCUUUUGUAGAAUGAACCGGCGAGUUACGAUUUGAUGCAAGGUUAAGCAGUAAAUGUGGAGCCGUAGCGAAAGCGAGUCUGAAUAGGGCGUUUAGUAUUUGGUCGUAGACCCGAAACCAGGUGAUCUACCCUUGGUCAGGUUGAAGUUCAGGUAACACUGAAUGGAGGACCGAACCGACUUACGUUGAAAAGUGAGCGGAUGAACUGAGGGUAGCGGAGAAAUUCCAAUCGAACCUGGAGAUAGCUGGUUCUCUCCGAAAUAGCUUUAGGGCUAGCCUCAAGUGAUGAUUAUUGGAGGUAGAGCACUGUUUGGACGAGGGGCCCCUCUCGGGUUACCGAAUUCAGACAAACUCCGAAUGCCAAUUAAUUUAACUUGGGAGUCAGAACAUGGGUGAUAAGGUCCGUGUUCGAAAGGGAAACAGCCCAGACCACCAGCUAAGGUCCCAAAAUAUAUGUUAAGUGGAAAAGGAUGUGGCGUUGCCCAGACAACUAGGAUGUUGGCUUAGAAGCAGCCAUCAUUUAAAGAGUGCGUAAUAGCUCACUAGUCGAGUGACACUGCGCCGAAAAUGUACCGGGGCUAAACAUAUUACCGAAGCUGUGGAUUGUCCUUUGGACAAUGGUAGGAGAGCGUUCUAAGGGCGUUGAAGCAUGAUCGUAAGGACAUGUGGAGCGCUUAGAAGUGAGAAUGCCGGUGUGAGUAGCGAAAGACGGGUGAGAAUCCCGUCCACCGAUUGACUAAGGUUUCCAGAGGAAGGCUCGUCCGCUCUGGGUUAGUCGGGUCCUAAGCUGAGGCCGACAGGCGUAGGCGAUGGAUAACAGGUUGAUAUUCCUGUACCACCUAUAAUCGUUUUAAUCGAUGGGGGGACGCAGUAGGA
rnacentral:rRNA from 1 species